CGUCACUGAGCAGGUGGAAUUCAUGUGUGUUUAUUCUCACAAAAUGUUAGUUUCCUUCCUGACGGACCAAAGAAAGGCUACGCUUCGUUGUGGUGGAAGGAUGAAGUGAUUACAUUACAGCCUUUUGUGUCGCUGUCAUUCUUCCAGCGUGGUGGCGUCUCCCUCAUUGAAUGACUGCGGUGUUAUGGUGCUCUCCUCCCGUCCCCAUCCUCCUCAUCGCUUCCCAAUAUAUUCCUCCAUCUGCAAAAGCAAAUGAAACCAAAGGAGAU